ACUCCUACGGGAGGCAGCAGUGGGAAUAUUGCACAAUGGGCGCAAGCCUGAUGCAGCCAUGCCGCGUGUAUGAAGAAGGCCUUGGGUUGUAAAGUACUUUCAGUCGUGAGGAAGGCGGCGUCGUUAAUAGCGGCGUUGUUUGACGUUAGCGACAGAAGAAGCACCGGCUAACUCCGUGCCAGCAGCCGCGGUAAUACGGAGGGUGCGAGCGUUAAUCGGAAUUACUGGGCGUAAAGCGCAUGCAGGUGGUUUGUUAAGUCAGAUGUGAAAGCCCGGGGCUCAACCUCGGAAUUGCAUUUGAAACUGGCAGACUAGAGUACUGUAGAGGGGGUUAGAAUUUCAGGUGUAGCGGUGAAAUGCGUAGAGAUCUGAAGGAAUACCGGUGGCGAAGGCGGCCCCUGGACAGAUACUGACACUCAGAUGCGAAAGCGUGGGAGCAAACAGGAUUAGAUACCCCGUGGUAGGACAGUG
rnacentral:rRNA from 1 species